UACGUAGGGGGCAAGCGUUGUCCGGAUUUAUUGGGCGUAAAGAGCGUGUAGGCGGCCAGACAGGUCUGCUGUGAAAACUCGAGGCUCAACCUCGAGACGCCGGUGGAAACCGUUUGGCUAGAGUCCGGAAGAGGAGAGUGGAAUUCCUGGUGUAGCGGUGAAAUGCGCAGAUAUCAGGAAGAACACCCGUGGCUAAGGCGGCUCUCUAGUACGGUACUGACGCUGAGAUGCGAAAGCGUGGGGAGCGAACAGG
rnacentral:rRNA from 1 species